rnacentral:rRNA from 1 species
UAGGGAAUCUUCGGCAAUGGGGGGAACCCUGCCUGAGCACCGCCGCUUGAGUGAAGAAGUUUCUUGGAUCGUAAAGCUCUGUUGUUAAGGAAGAACGAGUGAGAGAAUGGAAAGUUCAUACUGUGACGGUACUUAACCAGAAAGUGACGGCUAACUACGUGCCAGCAGCCGCGGUAAUACGUAGGUCCCGAGCGUUGUCCGGAUUUAUUGGGCGUAAAGCGAGCGCAGGCGGUUAGAUAAGUCUGAAGUUAAAGGCAGUGGCUCAACCAUUGUAGGGGUUGGGAACUGUUUAACUUGAGUGCAGAAGGGGAGAGUGGAAUUGCAUGUGUAUAGGUGAAAUGCGUUGACAUAUGGAGGAAAACCGGUGGCGAAAGCGGAUCUCUGGUCUGUAACUGACGAUGAGGCUCGAAAGCGUGGGGAGCGAACAGG